GUGCAAUAAAAACACAGUCCAAUAAAAACAGUCUUAACACUUAAACACAUGGCAACUGAACUGGCCAACUGCAACUGCAAGUCUGCAACUGCAACAGUCUUAAGUCUUAAGUCUUAACAGUCUUAACACUUAAAGUCUUAAACAGUUAAACAUAGUGCAACAAAAACAGAGAGAGCAAUGUUUGCACUCUACUUUGCGAACUUCUCCGUUAUCUUCUUUCACCACAAAGUAUUCCCAAAUAUCGGAGCGUUGAGCAGUAGCACAGGGCAUGAUUGCACUUGAACCUAAAAAAAAUAUAAAUCAUAAGUUAGAAUAUUAUAGUUUGAUGAUAAUAAAACAAAACUACAAACUAUUAAGUAUAUCAUUAUCACCAAACAAAUAGAGUAUUAAACUUACCACUCAAGAUGCAAGUUGCAACUAUACAUCAAACAAUGCUAGUAGUGCUUCCAUGAUUUUCCAUAUCUAAA
rnacentral:lncRNA from 1 species